rnacentral:lncRNA from 1 species
AGGAUAUAGAAUGAAACCUGCAAAGCAAGUUGUCUAAAAGCCUUUCUAACAUCAGAUUCAGAAGCAUCUGGUUGAACCUUUAAUAUCUUAUAAGGAUCUGUCACAGAAGAAGAAUAAGAUGAGCAACAAACUCUAACUCUGUUCAUCUUAUUUUGUUUCUUUUCCUUUCUUCCAAAUUGCAUCCAUGAAACACCAGAUCCUAUACCACCAAUAACACCAGCAGUAGUAGUAGCGGCCAUCCUUAAAAUCACAAAAACCUCAACAACCCAGAAAAGCUUUCCUAAAAAAGGAUCAAACUUUGAAAUAAUCAACACAAAUACAAAAAGACCCAGAAGAGUUUUUGUUAUAAAGGACCAAACUUUAAGAUUUCCAACACAAACAAAGAAUGACCCAGAAAUGGUUUUGUUGUAAAGAAACAAACUUUGAUGUGGUUUUAUUAAUGAAUGAAGAUAUUGUUUUCAGGAUUGGAACAAUGGGCACGGCAAGUUGAUUUUGAUUUUGAUGGGGAAUCUGUCCAAACUGCAGUAAAUAAUGGGUUUAGAUUUUCCUUUUUUUAAAGAGGAUUGAAGAAGAAAAUAGAAUUGAUCAAAGGAUAUGCUAUCGGAUUAGAGGAAAUAGAGUAUUUAUAGAAAUAGAAUAUUUAUUUACUAGUAAAAAAAGAGAAAAAAAUUGAAUUGUUUAAAAUUGGUUCUUAUCCAUAGAUUGAUGCAAACGUGACGUGGAAUGUCGUGUUAGUGGAAAGAAUUAUUGGGUUUUAUCUUACUAUUGUCUUUUUUAAACUUUUACUUGGUCUCAAGUGUGAGACUUGUCUUUUGGAUUUAUUAUUUGGGUCAAGGUAUAUUUUGGCGAAAAAAAAAUAUUUACGGUAAAUUUGAUAAAUUAUGGGGUCAUUGUUGGAUCAAAUACUUAUUUCUGUGUUAAAAGUUAUUGUUGUUAGUGUCACAUUCAAAGAUCAUGGAAAAGAUAUUCUUAACCCUAACAAAUCAAUUUACUUAUAGCGUGGUGUCCAUUGAAGAAUCCAAGGAGACUGAUGACAUCUCCAUUGAUGAACUACAAAGUUCAUUAGUAUUGCAUGAACACAAGUUCAAUCGACCCAAAGUAAAUUCAGAAGAUGAUGACCAGACACUUAAAGUGGAAGAAAUAAUAAAUUUUGGAAGAGACAGUGUAGAGAAUCACCUCGAGGGCAUGGUCGAGGCAAAGAAAGAUUCAUCGUCAACAAAGCAACUGUUGAAUGUUUCAAAUGCUAUAAAUUAGGACAUUUUCAAUAUGAAUGUCCUAUAUGAAAUAGAGAUGUAAAUUAUGCAGAGCUAGAAGAAGAUGGCCCCCUACCUAUGACAUACAUGGGUGAGAUAAAGAUUAAAGAUAUAUGGUUUGUGGAUUCAGGAUGCUCAAAUCAUAUGUGUAGUAACAAAAGUGUGUUUUCAAGUUUGGAUAUGACUUUCUCUCAUUCUGUCAAGCUUUGAAACAAGAAUAAAAAGGAAGUAACUGAAAAAGAUAUUAUUAAACUAAUGAUAUGAGGAAUCUUGUACAUUGUCGGAAGUGUUUACUUUGUACCUGAACUUAAGAACAACUUGUUGAGUGUUGGUCAACUUCAGGAAAAAGGAUUGGCAUUGUUGUUUCAAGAAGAAGCAUGCAAUAUAUAUCAUCCUCAAAGAAGAUUGAUUGUGAAAUCUAUCAUGAGUGUAAACAGGAUGUUCACUAUCCUGUCCGAACCACCAAAAACACGUGGAACACAAGAAGGAAAGAAUAUGGAGGUGACUUGUCUUCAUACAGAUGGAGCUGACCUGUCAAAAAUCUAGCAUGAAUGAUAUGGUCAUCUUAGUUAUAAGGGCCUACGCACACUGCAAUAUAAAUGGUUCAUGGUCUUCCAAAGUUCCCAACCUCAAUUGUCACAUGUGUGGAUGGCUUGAAUGGAAAAUAGACAAGAAACUCCAUUCCAAAGUAGUGUUCAUGGAGAAAUACUCAGCCUCUAGAGCUCGUUCACCCAGACAAUUGUGGUCUCAUAUCUCUCAUCUCCAACAGGGGGAAUAGGUACUUUUUAAGUUUCAUUGACGACUAUAGUCGAAAAGUAUAACUUUAUUUGCUAGCCGAAAAAUCAAAUACUUUGAACUAUUUCAAAAUAUUCAAAAGUAUGGUUGAGAAAGAAGCAUGUGUGUUGCUCAAGUGUCUUCAUACAGACAGAGGGGGUAAAUAUACUUCAACAGAUUUUGUCAACUUUUGCAAAGAGAAUGGAAUUCAAAGGAAACUUGCAAAUGCAUACACAUUCCAACAAAAUGGCGUUGCGGAGAGAAAAAACAUGACAGACAUGAAUAUGGUGCGAACAUUACUAUCAACAAAAAAUAUUCCAAAAUCAUUCUGGCCUGAAGCAAUGAAUUGAACUUUCCAUGUUCUGAACCGCUGCCCCACCUUGGCAGUUAAAGAUGUAGCACCUCAAGGAGCAUGGAGGAGAAUCAAACUACAUGUGGAUCAUUUCAAAGUUUGGGGCUGCCUUGCUCAUGCUCACAUUCCAGACGUCAAACGAGGUAAAUUAGACAAUAAAAGUUUAGUUUGCAUUUUCUUAGAGGUGAGUGAAAAUACUAAGGGAUAUAGACUUUUUAAUGUGAUCACAAACAAAAUCGUAAUAAGUCGAGAUGUGGUAUUUCAAGAAGAUGAGAAAUGGGAUUGGGGAAAAGGAUAUGAAACACAAGUUGGUAUAGAUUUAGACUGGGGAGAGAAAACACAAGCUGAGGAAAGUGGAGAAACGAGAGAUGAAAAUGGAAAUGAGGAAGAUGGAAAAGUAAGUUCUGGUAACGGGGAUGUAGUUACAUAAACUGAAAAUGGAGAAGAAAUGAAGUUUUCAAGAGACCAGAUUGAGAGGGAUACAAUCCAAGGGAGAGAAAGAAGAGGUCUUAGAAUGCAUAACCUCUAGCACUCCAUUCUGAACUCGACUACUUAGAAAGUGUUUGCUACAGUAGCUCGACUUGACACAGUGAGAAUGGUGAUAGCUACAGUGGUUCAGAAAGGAUGAAAUAUCUUCCAAUUAGAUGUAAAGUCUGCUUUCUUGUACAGUCGGUUGAGUGAACAAGUUUUUUUGAUCAACCAAGUUGUGAAAAGAGGGAAUGGGCAUUUGGUGUACCAGCUACACAAAACAUUGCAUGGAUUAAAACAAGCUCCAAGAGUCCGAUUUAAUCACAUCAAAACUCAUUUUAUCAAGGAAGAUUUCUAAGGUUGUGACUAUGAACAAACUUUCUUCACGAAGAGAAGCAAAGAAGGUAAAAUCAUUAUUGUAAGUAUCUAUGUUGAUAACUUAAUAUUCAUCGGCGAUUAGGGGUGUGCAAAAAAAACCGGUUAUUCAUAACCAAAUUGGUAUCCAAAUUGUUCUACUUUUAAAAAAUCAAACCAAAUGCUAAAAUAAAAAUUUGAAUAUCCAUUUCGUUAUCCAAAUACAAACCGUUACUCAUCAUAAAAAUUUGGUUUUGUUAUUGGGGGUAUCCAAAUUUUACUAUGCUUUAAAUUUUUAUAUUCGUGGGUUUUCAUAUUUUAUCACAUUAUAAAUUAAUUUUAUAUUUUAAAUUAUUUUAAAAAUAAAAUUCAGAAUUUUUUUUCUUUUCACGAAAAAUAUUAUAUUCGAAUUUUUUUUUCGAAAAAAUUAUAUUUGAUAUUUUUUUCAAAUAAAAUUAUUAUUUUUUUUAAAUAAAAAAAUAUUUUUUAUCAAAAAUAUUAUAUAUUUUUUUCAGUAAAAAAAUUUAGAUUUUUUUAAAAUAAUUUUUUUUGAUAAUUUUUUUAAUUUUCAUAAAGGUUAUUUUUUCAAAUUUUCAGAAUAAAAAAACUUUUAUUUUCAGAAUUUUUUUUUAAAAAAAUAAUAAUAAUUUUUUAUUUUCAGAAUUUUUUUAUUUUCGAUUUCCAUUUUUUAAAAAUAAAUUUUUUCAAUUAUUUUUAUUUUUGGGAAUAAUUUAAUUUUUAAGAUUUUUUUUUCAUUUUCAGAAUAUAAUUUUAUUAUUUUCAAUUUUUUUGAUGUAUUUUUAUUCUUUUUUCUGAAUAUUUGUUAUUUUUUUAUUUUAAAAAAAUUGUUUUUUUUAAUGUUUUUCAAAUUUUAAAAGAAAAAAUAUUUUAAAAUCUCAUAAAAUUUAUUUAUGUUUUUAAAUUUAAAAAUUAAUAUUAAUUUAAAUAAAAUAAAAUUUAAGUUAAAUAAUUUUGAUUAAAAUCAAAAUCUAUUUAACAUCGGUUUUAACCCGAUUCGAAACCGGUUCGAAAUUUUUAAUUAAUUUUUGUUAUAAACCAUUAUUAUAAAAAUGGAUUCGUUCAUAUUAAAUGGUAUUCAUCACACCCCUACCACAUUCGUACCGAUGAUUAUGAGAAUCUAAUAACUUAAUAUUCAGUAGUUCCACCAUCAAUAAUUGUUAGUGAGAGUAAUAAUAAUAUUCACCUCUCUAUUAGAGUCAUAUUAUUGUAAGUGAAAAGAGAAUUUGCAGAAGAAGAGUGAUUCGAGGCAUAUUGGAACCUUACAUAUAGGAAUCAUUCCUUUUUUUACUAGUAACAUCCAAUGGUAUAAUAAUGCAAAACACACUCUUUCACAGAUGGGUUAAUAAUAAUAAAGUUUAAAAAUCCAAAAAUUUAUAUAUUAAUAUUGUAAAUAAUUAAAUAAGGUGUUGGGUCAGUAAAGUUUAAAAAUGAAAAUUUUGUAUAUUCAUAUGAACAGGGAUGUUCGCAUGCUUGGAAUAUUUACAUAGUUAUUGAAAAACUGUCAACUUAACCACUUACGGUAUUGUUGUAUACUAUUGUUAAUAUAGACAAGAUUUUGACUGAACUUUUUGAAAUAGAUGAGGAACACACUUCAUGUGCAGGUUCAAAGCACUUGUUGAUUGCAUGAUUCAAGGUAGCAAGACAUUUGUUUCUGGUUCGUAUUUGUUGCAUACUUGUGUUUAUUCAAGGAAGUCUUUUCUUUUAGUUUGUGUCUUAUUGUUGUACUCUGCACCAAAUAGAACGUAUGUGUCUUGCUUUUUCUUAUUUCAGUUUUAAGGAUAUGCAUCUUAGAGAAUGUCAAUGGUUAAAGCUAUAAUGAAUCUUAAUGAUUUUUAAGAUUUUGGGUUGAGAUGUGGCGUCUCCUUCUUUUAUAGUCCUGAAAUAUUAAUUUUAUUGAUGUUCCUGACUCUCCCGGUCUCCUCAACAGCGGUUUCAAAUUCGUGGUUCAACUUGAUGGGGAUGUGGGAGUUGGAUCCGGUGUUGGAUCCCGUUAUAGGAGGCAGGGAACUCACACUCGUGAAGAAGAAUGUUUGGUGCAAUUGUGAGUGAUUAAAGUCUCACAUUAUCUAUGAAUGAAUGAAAUGUUGAAUUUAUAAGAGAGAUGUCUUAUUUAUGUAACACUUUCAGGUUUUGGGUUGAGAUGUAGUAUCUCUCUCUUAUGAUCAUAUGGGACAUUGUUCUCAUUGGUACUCCCGUCUUCCCGGGACUCUCCAAUAGCUGGAAGAAGGAUUUAUUGAUAGUAUAUGUUUAUACUGCAAUUAAUUAACAAAUAUAUUGUGUUUGCCAUUGCUGAAGAAGCCUCGAGUUGAAACUCUAUUGUUCACCAAUUUUUGUUUUAUAAUUUGAUCUAAUUAAUUAUUCAAAUAUUUUAAAAAAUGACAUGAAGAUAAACUUGGUCAAUUUAAACAGACAAAUCAUCUCUACCAGCGUUAUGUCAUUAAAAUUCAAUCCCAAAUUUAACUAGGGAUUAAAAUAGAAAUAAAAAUAAAUAAAAAAAGUGACCAAAAUUCUCAUUGUUAAAAUAAGGGAUUGAAACUCAAAAAAAAGAAAAAUUAUGGAGACUAAAAUUGCAAUUAAGUCUUAGUUUUUUUUAAUAUGUCUCGAUUGUGAGACUUGUCUUUUGGAUUUAUUUGGGUCUAAGAUUUAUUAUUAGAAAAAGGAAAAUGGUCUGUGUAGUUUUACAUUAUUUAAUGAAAAUAUAUCACUCUAUAAAGUCAUACAAACAAUUUAAAAUUUUGAGUAUGACUUAAUAGUGUUAGAAGUAAUUCAUAUUUAGUAGUAAUAGUAUUAGUUUUUAUUAAGUUUAACCUAACUAGUGUAUGUUAGCACUUUUGUCUACGUGACAUUAUUAUUUGUAUAUAUAAACAAGUGUAGUUGUCAAUAACCACAUACACAUAAUAAUGCAGUACUGAGUGUGUGCAUUGUGUAUAGUGUGUGUGCAACCAUUUUGCUGUAACUGUUUAAUAAGAGUAUUAGAAGUUUGUUAUUCUCUCUCUUCUCUCUCUUCUUCCAUCUUCAUCUUCUUCACCUUAUUCCCCAACAAUUGGUAUCUAGAACUCUGGUUGAAAUUUACAAGGAAACACGAGUGAACAGUGACACAUUAUGUGAUUGAUUUCGUUUUUUGAAUUCGUGUUAAAUUUCUGAAUCAAAAUCGUAACAAAAUCACAUUUCUUGAUUUUGCGGGAUUGGGAAACACUAGUGUUUGGUGAGAUCUAAGUGAUUUGCACAAGAUUAAAGAUGAACAAAAGAGGUAAUUUGAGUACUAAGCUUCCAGUGUUCGAUGGAAAGAACUGGAAUCAAUAAAUGAUUCAGAUGCGUGUGUUAUUUGAUGCUCAACGUAAUUUGAGGAAGAAGGAUCAGAAGACGUUGUUCUACAUCCAUCAGUAUGUGGAUGUGAACGUGUUUGAGAAAAUUGCUAAUUCGAUGACAACGAAGGCUGCGUGGGACACACCCGUACGGUGUUACGACAGUGAUGCAUCAUUCUAAAGGUGACUCUGAAAGCGAAUCUGACUCUGAAGGCGGGUCUGAUUCUGAUGGUGAUUCAGACUCUGGUGAAGAUCCAGACUCAGGAAAUAUUCCAGACUCUGAAGGUGGUUAUGCCGCUGAAGAUGGUACUUCUGGGGUUCCAGCAUCUGAUAUUGUUCCAAUGUCCGGAGAUGAUUUUGAAAAAGUUCAUAGAUCACAAAGAAUUAUACAAAUAUCAAGGAGAUUUGCAAAGUUUGACAUGAUGCAAGAUAAUGAAAUAGACUCUGAAGAAGAAAUCAUUUGGUGUGUCAUGUUAGUAGAUUCUGAACCAGUGAGUAUUGAAGAAACGCUCAAGAAAAAAGUGUGGCUGAAGGCCAUGAAGGAAAAAUUUUAGGCUAUAGAAAGAAACAAUACUUGGAAGUUGACUAAGCUUCCAAAAGACAAGAAAGUCGUCAAUUUCAUAUGGGUUUUCAAGGUGAAAUUAAAGCCAAAUGGAUCAAUUGAAAAACAUAAAGCAGGGUUAGUGGCAAGAGGUUUUCUACAGAAAUCUGGGUUAGACUACCUUGAGGUGUUUGUUCCUGUAACGAGACAUAAGACAAUCAUAAUGGAAAUUGCGAUAGACAUUAAUAGGAAUUGAUCUCUGAUGUAUCCGGAUGUGAAAUAUGCAUUUCUAAGCGGUUCAUUGCAAGAAGACGUAUAAGUGUCACAACCUACUGGAUUUCUUAAAAAGAAUCAGGAAGGGGUGAUAUACAUAUUACAUAAAACAAGCUCAUAGAAUUUGAAAUCUAAAAAUUGAUUUUUUUUUAUAUAUAGAGUUUUAAUUUCAACCUUCUCGUAACACUAACACACCUUAUUCUCAUCAUUUUCUUCAAAUAUAAUCUUACAUUUUCUUUUCUAAUCUAUCAUCUUUUAAAUAUAUAUUUUUAAAUCCUUUUAUCUUUUUACUCGAAUUUUACUUUUAUCACUAUACUCUUGUCAAAUUUUAUUUUUACCACCAGACAUACUCUUGUCUAAUCUAUUAUCUCAAAUAUUCUUUUAAUAAUUGAUAUUUUUUCUUUUCUAUUACAAUAUUUUUGAUAUUUUAUUAUAAUUUUUUAAUAUUAUUUUAAUAAUUAUAUUAUGUUUUUUAUUUGAUUUUUGUCUAAUUUAACUUUUUGCAUAUUAAAUUAAAAAGAAAAUAUGUAAAUUUAUUUUACAUCAAUCAAUGACAAUUAGACAUCCAAUUAAAUCAAAAUUUUGGCAAAAUGAUAUAUCCAAUAGUACUUUUAAAUUAUGUUAUUAUUCAUAUAAUAUAUGAAUGAUUAACACAGUUCAAUAAUAUUUUUUUAAUAAAAAAUCAAAUCAAUUGAACCAAAUCAAAGUACUAGUACAUUGAUUGCAAAGAAACAAAACCUUGUGUUAAUUUUUUCUAACUGUAAAAAAAGCAAUGACUUGAUAUCAUAGCUUUAUCACCUUCCAUUUGGAUAAGAUAAACAUAUGAAGAGAAAACCCAAAAAGAAAAAGAUAAAUAUGUACAAUAACUUUUAUUUGUAUUUAACCAUAACAAUAACAAGCCAACUUUCAAUAAUGCAGAGAAAAAUUGACAUCAACAUGGACGAAUAUAUACAAAGCACCAACCACUUUUGGAUGGAUGGGGACAAGUAGUAGGUCUAGAGUAGACCCAUUUUAACUAUAAUACUAAUAAUAAUGCACAUAAAGAUUACUAUCACUACCUAACAUAAACUUUAUCAAAUGAAAGGAUUAAUAUGAUUAGAGAAGUCACUAUUACUAACUCCUGCUCCUUCAUAACCCAUCCAUUCUUCCCAAUAUCCCCAAUCUGGAUCAUUCUUUCCUCUAAAUGGUUCAUCAUCAUAACACAUCUUCUUCUUCUUCUCCUUCUCAUAUGUUUCUCUCUUCUUUGCUUCUUCUCUCAAAUUUGUAAUCGCAACCUGAACAUCAUUUCAUUCAUAUUAUUACUACUAAUUCAAUUCACUAUUUGCAAUCAAAAUUUAUAGAUAAUAAUAACUCACAACAUAAGCCUCAUUGAUUACGUGAAACCGCACAUCACAAUCUUUUCCUCUGCAAACAUCUGGAUGAUACUGAAACACAAAUAAAACCCAAUCAAAAUGAAAAUACAUAAAUCUUAAAGAAACUAACUUUUGGGACAAAAACAUAGGAUAUAGAAUGAAACCUGCAAAGCAAGCUGUCUAAAAGCCUUUCUAACAUCAGAUUCAGAAGCAUCUGGUUGAAUCUUUAAUAUCUUAUAAGGAUCUGUCACAGAAGAAGAAUAAGAUGAGCAACAAACUCUAACUCUAUUCAUCUUAUUUUGUUUCGUUUCCUUUCUUCCAAAUUGCAUCCAUGAAACACCAGCUCCGUUACCACCAACAACAAUAGUAGCAGCAGCCAUUCUUAAAAUCACAAAAACCUCAAAAACCCAGAAAAGCUUUCCUUAAAAAGGAUCAAUCUUUGAAAUAAUCAACACAAAUACAAAAAGACCCAGAGGAGUUUUUUGUUAUAAAGGACCAAACUUUAAGCUUUCCAACACAAAUUAACUAUGACCCAGAAAUGGUUUUGUUGUAAAGAACCAAACUUUGAUGUGGUUUUAUCAAUGGAGGAAGAUAUUGUUUCAGGAUUGGAACAAUGGGCACGGCAAGUUGAUUUUGAUUUUGACGGGGAAUCUGUCCAAACUGUAAUAAAUAAUGGGUUUAGAUUUUCUUUUUUUGAGGUUUGAAGAAGAAGGAGAAAAUAGAAUAGAUGAAAGGAUAUGCUGUAGGAUCAAAGGAAAUGAAGUAUUUAUAGAAAUAGAAUAUUUAUUUACUAAAAAAAUAGAAAAAGUAGUUAAUGGUUUAAAAUUGGUUCUUAUCCUUACAUUUGAUGCAAACGUGACGUGGAAUGUCGAGUAAUACGAAAGCAUCGUUAUUGGGUUUUAUCUUAUUAUCUUUUUUAAACUGUUACUCGGUCUCAAUUGUGAGACUUGUCUUUUGGAUUUAUUAUUGCGAAAAAAAGUGGAUAUUUACGGUAAAUUUGAUAAAUUAUGGUGUUAUUGUUACAUAACUCGGAAUUUUAAUAAUUUCAAUUUAUCAAAUUUAUCAUGAUUGCAAACGUGUAUAUUUUUUUUGUUGAAAGAGCCAACAUUUAUUAAUAUAAAAAUAAUAACUAUAGGCUCCUUUUAUGUUGUUGUUAAAUUAAAUAAAGGUACCAAAUCUUUAUUUAACGUGGGAUUUGGCCGUAGGGUGGAGGAUUCAACAUUGCCGGAUGAGUAAACAACACAUAUACACCUUUGAUAUAAUUCAUUGAUAUGAAGAAGAAAAAAAUUGAAAUGAAUUAUUGUUGUUAUUUUUAACAUUAUUUAAUUAUAUUAUAUCAUUAUUAUAUAGUCCUAAAAUUUUGAGUGGUAAAAGAUAUGGUGGAUUGUACGUAGCUUAAGUUAAUAGCAAUAUUUAAUUAUAAAAUUUCAUUUAACUUAAGUAUUUUAUUCGAUAUCAUUUGUUUCAUUUUACUUUAACAUUUUGACACCUUCAGUGUUGUCAUUAUUGGUAUCUGUUUCUUAAGCAUAAUUUUGAUGAUUUUUUUAACUUGGUAUGAAUUGGUAUAACCUAUAUUCAGAACUUUCAAUCCAACUACAAGAGUAUGAAAUCUUGAGAACAUUUUCUCAAUCAUUUCAUCCUCUUCCAUUUUGAAAGAUUCAUAUUUUUGAAUCAAGAUCAAGGCUUUAGUCUCUUUAACUUAAUCAUUUAUUUCAUAAGUCAUUUUCAAAGAAUCAAACAUACGUUUAUAAGAGUCUCUAUUAGUUAUCUUUUCAUACUCAUAGUAGGAAAUAACAUUCAUCAACAUAAUUUUGGAUCUUUGAUGAUUCUUGUGAUCCUUAUUUUGAUGAUCAUAUAUUUUUCUUCAUUCAAGCUUAGGGCCAUCACUAUCUACAGUAUGUGUGUAACAAUAUAACACCAUAUCCCAUAGGUCAGCAUCACAAGCUAUGAAGAAACGUUCGAUCUAUCUUUCCAAUAGUCGAACUUUUAUCCAUCAAAGAUUGAAGGUUAUGCAGAAUAAUGGUCUUUAUCAUUGUUUGCAUGUGUCAUAAAUUGUUUCAAGAAGAUGGAUCUUUAUCUGACACAGUUAAGUGCUUUGACACAAUGAGUCAAAAAUCAGAAUUGGAGCUCUGAUGCCAAUUGAAGGUGCAAGAAACACAAUAAAGGGGGGGGGGGGGGGGGGGGGGGGGGGGGGGGGGGGGGGGGGGGGUGUGAAUUGGGUUCUAGAUUUAAAAAUUAUUGCCACCCAAAUAUCAAACAACAAAGAUAAUGAUAAAGAGAAGAACACAAAUAUUUUUGUUGGUGUAAUCCCUAAAGGUCAGUACUUUUGGUACUUGUAUCGAAUUAUUUAUUAUAAUAAUUUUUUUUCCUUUAUUUGUUUGUUUAACAAAAUCCCUAGAAUGGCUAGUCCGUUUAAUGUAUCAAGUGUGACUUAAUCAUGAAGUCUCAUUAAACAUAAGGACGAUAUUCUUAAAGUAUUUGUAGUCGAGCUUUGUUGUGAAGUGAGAUAACAUUAAAACAUUAAGACUAUUAUGUAUAUAGCCUGAUGAUCACAUCUCAUGGAUCAUGGAUAAGAAGUUAUCAAGUCUUAAACAUAGGUAUGAAUAUUAGGAGUAAUUUAAUAACUCAGAUUGACCCGCUAUGAGAAUACUACAUAGAAUGUUAUGCAAAGUGUCAUAAGUUAUUCUCAUGGUGAUAGUGGUGUAUACCACCCUUCGACCUGAAACCACUAUGGACCCUAGAUAUAGAGUUGAGUGCAUUAUUAUUGAUCAAAUAUUGUCCGUAACUAGAUGACCAUAAAGACAGUUAAUGGGUACUCCACGAAGCAUGCUGAGGGACAUGAGUGACCUAGAUGGAAUUUGUCAAUCCUACAUAACAGGAUAAAUGUCUUAGGGCCCAAUAUUGAACUGGACAAGGCUGACAGAUUCUAUGUCUUGUGUCUUGGGUAGCAGUGAUGUGUUGCUAGAUACUGCUCACUGUUUACUAUGUUAAAUAUGUGAUUUAAUAUAAUUGUCAAUGUCACGAAAACCUACAGGGUCACACACAAAAGUACGGAUUGAUGAGAGAUAGAGUAAAUAAGGAACACCGUAAGGUACGGUGCAUUUAAGUGAAUUCUAGAAAAUCAUAAGGUACGGUACAGUUAAGUAGAAUACAAAAUAUGGUAAGGUACCACGCGCUUAAGUGAUUUUCGAUAUACCAUAAGAUAUGUGCCACAUACACUUAAGUGGGAUUUUUAGCUUGCAGUUCACACAAGGGGUUUUAUAAAUAGAACCCCUAUGCAUAAGCAUUUCACUUGAUGAAAUUUUGUCUCUCUCUCUCUCCCCCUCACUCAAAGCCUUCAUUCGUAGCAGCUAGCACUAAAAUUGAAGGGAUUCGUUUGUAUGGACUGAGUAUAGGCGUUGUCACCAUUCAACGCUCGUGAUCCCUCCUUAGAUCUGCAUCAAAGGUUUCAAUCGCCACAAGAGGUAACUAUUUCUAUCACUGAUCAUGCCCAUUCGUAAGGAUGACUAAGAAAAAAAAAUAAUUUUCGCUGCAUUUUGGAUCGCAAUUUUCCCUCAUUUUUAUCUCGGUUCGCUAUUAACUAAGUUACAUACAGUCCACCCGUCUUAGUGAUUUUUCCUUCUUAAUAAGGACUUAACCUAAUAAUCAAUCUAAUUAUAACCAACUUAAAUACAUACAGUGUAAGACUUCUUGAGAAAUGCUGAUUAUACCCUAGUCUCUCAAGAAACACAACUCAAAGACUAAUUGUCAAAAACUUCUUGAGAAUUCUGACUACACUUAGUCUCUCAAGGAAAUUAACUAAAGGUUAAGAUAAAUAGGUUUUAUGUUUAGAAGAUGCUUUAACAAGCAGAUACAUAAGUUUAUAUCAAAUGUUACACUUAACAAAAAUAUUCAAAGAGAAUGUUCUAAGUGUAUGAGUGUGAGAAACAUUUCUUUUAUUUUUCUCUUCUCAUGUAUCUUCUUUGAGUGUAUGCAUUGAUAUGCAAAUUUAAUCACUGUUAUUUCCAAUCUUCAAAUACCUUUUUAUAUAGGAAGAAAUAGAUUUGUUGGAGGGUGAGUUUAGAAUAUCCUCAACGUAAUAAUUGUAUAAAGGUCACUUCAUAUUGCAAUAUUAUAGUCGUGGUUGGAGCAGAGAGUUGGUGAGGAUGAUGGGACAUGAGAAACUUAUUUGAUACAAAGUAUAAUACUUUACAAAGAAAUUAGAUUUGCUUUUUUACUUCCGCCACAUUAACCAGUCAUUGACCGUUUUAUUCAAAUCUUCUAGUCAGAGACUUCUUAUACGUGCUGAUGAAGCUUGAGUAAAGUUCAGAGUUUAUCUUCAGAACUUGGUGAGACUUUCAGAGUCUUUGGAAAACAUGGUUUUAAGACUUUCAGAGGUUGGUAGUCAUAACCUUUAUUAGAUUCUAAUUCUCGCGGUUGCGGUGCUCUCAACAUGGGCGCGAUGCAGCAAUAUCGCAACCACAUUACUGACCAAUGCGAUUGUGAUACAACUUUUUUCUGACGCGUUUUUGCAUAAUUUUUAAUGGAAAUUCACUAUUUUUUUUAGCGUUACGAAUUUUAGGCAAGAAAGUGACAACAAAAAACAUUACUGUGAUUUUGGAAAGCAUUGGAGUCAUUGAAGAGCUUAUUUUCCAUUGAUUUUCAUGAUUUCUUCUUAGCAACUCAUGGUAGCAAUAUGUUUAACUAUGAGUAGCUAAGCUAUUUUGUAUUAGGUCUUUAUAGAUGAACCUAAUUUUACUCUGUUGGAUCAUAUAAAUGUUUAAUAUUAUCUGAACACUUUUUUGUUAUAAUUAUUAUUCAAUUUUUCUUGCUCUUACCGCUCUUUAUGUGUUGACAGACGCCUAAAGUGGUUUUAGAUAAGUAUAGAUUAUUGGCCUUAAGUCUACCGAUCUGAAUUAGGAAAAUUAGUCAACUUAGUAAUUAACUAGUAAUAGAUAAUUAUAAGUUGUGGCUGCAGAAUUAACGAACUUAGAAACACCUAGUUUUACUUUGAAUUCGCCUAAGGAAUUAAAGAAUUGUCGUCUAAAUUAGUGAGUUGCAUACCAAGGAAUUGGGUGGAACAGUCUUGUUAAUUAGUCGUAUAAUUAUAGAGGAUUUGUCAUUCAUUUGAUACACAUUCAUCAACAUGCUAUAAUUAGGGGAUUAAAAGAAAGAUCUAAUCACUAUUCUUUAUCAAAACUUUACUACGAAUUUCUUCUCAUUAUUAUUUUCGUACCAAUCAAAUCUGAACCCCCCCCCCCCCUUUAAUUAUUUUAAAUCACAUAAGCAUUGCCAUUUUUUAAAUAGAAAUCCCUCUGGAGAUGAAUUGUUUUAUUCCUUCGACCGUAUUAGCACACUUGCUAAAAAAUUUAUCAAGUUUUUGACAUCAUUGUCAGAAAUUGUUGAUAAUUUUAACAAGGCAAUUUUUAUGUGUAGUUUGUUAUUUUUAAAUUUUUAGGUUGAAUUUUGAAUUUUCUUUGUUGCUAUUUAUUUGUUGUUUUAUCUUUAUUUUUAUUUGUUUUAUUUUCUAUUUUUGAGUUGGUUAUGGUUAAUACUUAGAUUUUCUUUUUCUAUUUUAAUUUUUAUUUAUUUUUUAUUUUCUGUUUCUUAUUUUUAUUGUUAUUAUCUUAUUUUUAUUCUAUUUUCUUUAGUUAUUGUUUAUUUUUAUUUUCUACUCUUAUUCAAAUCUGUUGGUUCAAUGCUACUGAGGUAUCUUGUGUUUUUGUAUGCGAGCUUUGAGUUUUACAUUGAUACCGUUAGAUUCAAAAAUCAAAAGAAUCCCACAAGCACUUCGAAAAGCUAAAAGAAAAACAUAAUGAGCUAAAGAGGAAAAAGAAGAAAUGGUGAAUCCACGUAGAUAGACGAUGGGGGAUUAUUGCAUAAGGAUUGAUGUUGGACAUAUAUCCUUAAGUUUUCAACUGGUUAACCUUGUACCUUUUGAUAUGAAAAUUCAUGUACUUUCAGGUUUAAGAGACAAACAAUUCGAUAGACAAGCUAUCAAAGAUCCUUGGGAGCAUUUUGCUAGAUUUUAUGGAACUUGUUCGAUGUGAAAACUGAAUGAUGUGACUGAAGAUUAGGUGAAAUUACAGUUAUUUUGUUUCUCUCAGAUAUGCAUAGCAAAAGACUGGUUGUAAUGUUUAUCAAAUGUUACCAUUCAGACUUAGAAGGAGUUAGAAGGCAUGUUUCUAUAGAGGUUUUCCACACACGCUUAAUUUAUACAAAGAAGAGCAUAAAUCUUAAGUUUUUUAUCAAUAUGAUUCUGAGUCACUGUCUGGUAUGGAGAAAAUGCAACAUUUUACCGGAGGUCUCACAACUCAAACAAUAAUGUUUUUUGAUGCCUAAACUAGAGGCACCACAAGGACUAAUAAUGAAGAAGAGGUUAAAAAGUUAAUCAAAAGCAUGUGCCGUAAUAAGUAUAACUCAAUAAGUGACCGAGCAAUCAAAUCAAAAGGCAUGCUUGCAUUAGAUUCAAAUAUAUCAUUUCUAGCUCAAUUGGAAGUUAUUUUAAAACCAUUAGCUACAACAAGCAUUAUUCAGGCCAAUGUUAGUCAGGUUUAGACACUACGGUGUGAUUUUUAUAUGCAAUGCCAUGCUAAUGGUGACCGUGUUUUAGAGGGAUGUACAUAAGAGGUGUAUUAUGCUAGAAAUUUUCAAAGAGGUAACCCGUAUUCUAAUACUUAUAAUGCAGGUUGGAAUGAUCACUUGAACUCAAGUGGAGUAACAACCAAGGAACUCCUCAAGCACCUUAAGUUACUUAAGCACAAAAACAAGGGAAUCCAUCUUAACUUGAAGAGACCCUAGCUCAAUUCAUGAAAUCCACUCAAACCAGUUUUGUACAAGUUGGAAAAAAAUCAGGAAGAAAUGUUUAAGACCCAAAGGGAGAAGGAAAAAAUUCCAAAUACCAUGAACAAAAAUACCGAAGCAUUAAUAAAAAACUUGAAAAUGAAAAUCCGUCAAUUAUCUCGGCGAGUGGCAGCACAAGCUAGUUCAAGUGAGGGAUGUAUUGGUAACACUAUAGAUAACUAGAAAAAUAAAAGUUGCAAGGACACUGUGUUGAAAAAUAAAGUGGUGCCUUCAAACCCAAAGGUUAGUGAUGAGAGAAAAGAAACAAGUGAGGGUGAGGAAAAGAUUGGAAAAUAAAUAGUAGUUGAGAAAGAGGUUGAGAAAAUAUCAGAGGGAGAAAAAAGUGAGUAAAAUAGUGAAGAUGAAGUUAAGGGGCUUACCUUUGACAAAUUCAUAGAUAUGAACUCACCUUAGAGAAUGACUAAGAAAUAAAUUUUGAAUGAACCCAACCCGGAGCUACCAGAUUACAUCAAACUACCUUACCCAAUCUUGAAAAAGAAACCAAAGAAGGAAAUGAAAUUGGUUUAAUUCAAAAAGUUUAUGGAGAUGCUGACAGAAAUACAAGUUAACAUUCCAUUAUGUGAGCCUUUCGAAGAAAUGUCAGUUUAUGCUAAAUUCAUGAAUGAGCUCUUAUCGGAAAAGCGUAAAUUUAAGUAUGAUGAUAAUCUCCCUUUGGUGGAAGGGUGUGACACAACCAUUCAACGAAAGCUUCCACCAAAACCCACUGAUCCAGGUAGGUCAUUAUUCUCUGUUAUAUUGGUUCACUAACUAUUGGUCAUGCUUUGUGUGAUUUAGGAGCUAACAUUAAUGUGAUGUUGUUGUUUAUGAUGAGAAAGUUAAAUUAUGGUUAUCCGAAGUCGACUUAAAUGAAUUUAACAUUAGCUAAUCAUUCUAUCACUUAUCCUUAUAGAUUUCUUACAGAUAUACUUGUUAAAGUCGAUGAUUUGUUAUUUCCAGUUGAUUUUGUUAUUCUUGAUAUGCUAGAAGACUAUGAAACACAAAUAACUUUAGGUAGAUCAUUCUUAGCAACAUCUAGAACUCUAAUUGAUGUGGAAUUAGGAGAAUUAAUUUUGAGAUUCAACAAAGAGUAUGUUGUGUUUAAUGUGUUUGAAGCCAUGAAACAUAAAAAAGUGAACCUUCAAUGAUAUAGAGUUGAUGUAGUUGAAGAUCUAGUCGAAGAAGUGUCUCCAAGUGAGUCACCUUUUUUACCUAGUAAAUAUAUUAUGGUGAAUUAUAUUGACACGAUUGAGGAAGAAUAAGAUAAAGAAGUCAAGGAGUAUGUGCAUGUCAUAUAAAAAAGUGAGACCAUGAGUAGUAUAGAACCAAGUGUCUUAAUGGAAACUAAAGCUUAAAAUUCUAAGAUCCUUGAAAUGAAAUAGAAUCCUCCAUAGUUAAAUCUUGCUCUAUUGAGAAAACAACUGAAACCACCUGUUUAAUUUAGAGUUCUUUAUCUAGUUUGAAAAAAGAGAAAACUAGAAGAGUUGUAAGAAAUAAUAGGGGAACACAUGGUUGGAACAAAUGUGACCUAAAGGAAAGAAAUGCGACUAAUUGCAUGCACAAGACCAAGUUUGAUUUCAAAUUAAUUAGAUACGCUGAUACAAGUUUGAAGGAAUAACCUAAUUUGAGAAGCAAAUAGUCAAGUUAAAGACCUUAAAUAAUUGUUGCGUGAGAGGCAACCCACGUAUUGAUGUUAUGUCGUUUUGUUUUUAUUUUUAUAAUUUCCCUUUUUGUACUUUGAUCCAAUCAAGAGUAUUAGAUAGCUUAAAAGAAUACUUUUUCCCUUUUGCACUACUUCUUUAUGCUUUACUUAAUGAACUAGUUUGUUGUUGUUGUUGUUGUUGUUUCUUUCAGUUAUGAUUUGCUACCUUACUAGUGACACUAGGAAAAAGAAAAAAAGAAGUCAUCCGAAAAGAAUGAACAAAAGUUGAUCAACAUAGAAGUUCCCAUUGAAGAUUGACAUUUGAUGAAGAAAAGGUAAAUCCAAAUGACUCAUACUCAAUCUCCAAAUACCUUAGCUAGUAAAGUUUGAGCCAAAAAGAUGCAUUGUUUGCUUUUCCUUCUUAUGAGAAUAUUCGUACACUAGUUAAUUUCUCGAAUUUGUGUUGUUUUUGCUUAGUCUAUUGAUAUGAUAAAUACACACUGAGGCGUAUGUUUAUGGAAAACCUGAUACUUUUAAACCAACUUAUAUUAAAAUGUUUAUAUCCUUUUCUAACCACUUUGAUCCUUAACCCUUCUUUUGAUGACAUAGCCUGUUAUAUAGCCAUUUGACUUGAAAGAUUAAAUAUUUCACCCUCUUCAGAGUUAGGUAGAAAAAUUAUUUUCCUUGUCUGAUGCAAAUGUAUAAGUUUGGGGUUGCUCUUGGAAAUUAACAACUUUUAAGUUUGGGGUUGGGAUACUAGAGAAAUGAGUUAAAAUAAAGAAAAAGAAAAAAAAUAAAGUUGAAUAGGACCAAUAAAAUGAAUUCUUUAAUAUUGAUUGACCAGGUAAAAUAUUGAGAUGAAAGGAAUCAGGUAACGUAAGGAAAACUAGGUACCUAACCUCAAAGGUUCAAGCCUACUAUCCCAAAUUAUCCUACUUUGACAUAAGCCACUACCUCAAAAGCGUAUAUUUAAAUAUGACUUUGAUUGACUCUGUUAGAAAUUCUGCAAACUGAGCGUAAAGUGCUUUUGUAUGUGAUUGUGUGAUUAUCCUGUCGAAUUUAGUGAACAAAAGUGAGAUGAGAGAUAGGUUAACUACUUAUGAUGUUGGAAGAACAUUUCAGAGUUGUUUGUAUUAAAGAAUGGGACAAACAUGUUGAUCAUAAAAAGAAAAGUGAUGUUCAUUGGUGAGAGUAAGCAUUUUGUUUCGGAUGAAUUUCUACUUUACAGACAGGUUAUUAAGGACAAGGAAUCAAGUAAGUUUAGGGUUGCGAUGACACUCUGACUGUACAAAAUAUUUGCGAGUAUUUUCUAUGGAAUCUGUGGAAUCAUGAGAAAAGCCAACCAAAUAUGUGAAAUAAUUAAGCAAAGUUGCAAAAGAGGAAGAAAAUGCGACUUAGAAAAUAUUCAUAAGAAAAAGAAAGGAAAAAGAAAGGAAAAAGCAAGAUUUAGCCUUUGGAAUUCUCGCAACCGCGAUGCUGAUUUCGUGAGUGCGAUGUAGCUUUUUCCUGACACACAUUUGCAACUUUUUAAAGGGAAAUUUGAUACUUUUUUAGGGUUACAAAUUU